AACUUAUUAGCUUAGAUUAAAUUUCACGUUAUUCAUGCCUACAUGAGCUGCAUACAACUGCUCUAAUCGGUAGGAUGUGGACGGACAUUGCAUUCAUUCCCAUUCAGCCGUUGGACUGAACCUGUACUGUCUGUAACACAGUAUGGAUGGUCAAUAUGAAGCGAGCUUCAUUGAAUUCCUCCAAGAGCUCUGUACUCCGUUCUGACCAUUUUGAAGAUGGUUGCUUUGACAGGACUGGGCAAGUGACUCGUCUUAGACAGGAUGCUGUCCCAACCAUGUUUGAUUUCCUGCCUCGUCUUCAGAAGAAUUCACCCAAGCCAAGGAAUUUCCCGAAAGAAAGACGUUUUGAUUCAGCAAACAACCUCCCAGAUACUGCAAAGUCUUCAGCACCUUAAUUUCUCGAGGACCACUCCUACUCAAUAUCAGAAAGUCCAAGAGGGGUAAAGUGGAAGAUAACAGCAAUAAUGGACUGUAUUAAGAACUUGGAGAAGAGGCUGAAAACCACACACGAGAAGUCCCGCCGUGUACAUUACUUGCUCUUAAGUUUGGACAAACAUAACUUGCAAAACUUUACAACAAAUAAUUACCCCAAUGUGCAUUCUGAUUAUUUAAAAUAGCUCAAUGAAAUAGUUUAUCAGUGGGCAUGUAACAAAAGUGAAUUCAUUAAAUUUGAACGUGUUGCAAAAAUGAUGUCUUACAGUAUAUUCAUUCUGACUUAGAAUGUCAGAAGAGAAAAAAGUUUGUGAAAAGUAGGAAUGACGGCAAGAUGACAGAAGAAUAGAACAGGAUAGAGCAAGGGGGACAGAUAAAGGACAAGUCCACCCCAAAAAUUGUUGAUAUGAAUAAAAAGAGAAAAAUCCAACAAGCAUAACACUGAAAAUUUGAUAAAAAAUCGGAUGUAAAAUAAGAAAGUUAUGACAUUUAAAAAUUUUGCUAAAUUUUACAAAAGAGUUAUAUGCACAUUCUGUACACAGUCAGUAUGCAAAUGAGGAGACUGAUGACGUCAUUCACUCACUAUUUCAUUUGAUAUAUAGAAUAAGGUAUAUUCUAAUUUUCUCCUUGUCAUGUUAAACAAAAUUUUAUUCCUCCCUGAUCAUGUGGAAUUAGCAUUAUUCAAUACUUUUUUGGUUCAGUAAAGUUUGUCCUUAUGGUAAAAUCUGUAAAAAAUGAAAUAUUGUAUAAUUCAAACAAUAAAAAACAAAAUAAACAGUGAGUGAGGGACAUUAUCGACUGUCUCAUUUGCAUGUCACUGAGUUGUGAAUAUUUUUGUUUUGUGAAAAAUAAGUGAAAAUUUAAAAUGCCAUAACUUUCUUAGUUUACAUCCCAUUUUGAUGAAAUUUUCAGCGUUAUGCUAGUUUGAUUUUUCUCAAUUUAACUGAACCAACAAUUUUCUUGGGUAGACUUGACCUUUACUAAUGAGCUGUUGGAUAGAGACAAAAAGAUGAAUUGAGAUUGAGGGUGAUAGAGAAAGAGAGACAGGUGUGGGGGAGCCUUUGAUGAAUGCCUGAGAAAGCGAACAUUACCAUAAUUUUUUUUUGAGGAUUUGGAUAGUAAUGAAUAGUACAUGUUUUUUCUGUUGGUAUUUCUCAAAAUAUGUGUAUGUUGUAUGUAAUGAAAUGGGUAUAAUCCUUUUGUAAGAUACACUCAUUCAGAAAAUAUUAACUAAACAAAAAAAAAAGCCAAAUUAUAUUUUACUUAUUUUCAACUGUUCAGACACUCUCAUAUCAAAAGUACCCCCCCCCUCAUUUCAAGGUAUUGGAGAGAGAGAAAGGUUGGAUGAGAAAUGGAUUGGCUGUCUGCAGAAAAAAAUGCAGGGGGAGCAAAACAUUUUUAGGAUAUGUUCAAGGGAGCGAAGCGACCGAGCAGAAAAAUUAUUCUGGGGAUAUAUGUGAGAGAGCAAAGUGACGAGAAGAACAAAUGCAGGGGCCAAAAUAUUUCGAGAAUAUGUGAGAGGGAGCAAAGUGACCAAGCAGAAGUAAAAGGAAAGAGGGACAAAAAUUGUGGUAUGUGUGAGGGAGCAAAGCAUCCGAUAAAAAAAACCAGAAAGCAGGUCAAUCAAAAUAUUUUUCGAAUUUGUGCUGGUGCGCGACACGUUCACUCCCGAGCGAUAGGGACUUGUUUAAAAAUGGCAUAGGAAAUAUGCGUUUUCUAUAAUCAUGGUAAACUGAUAAUAUGGUAGAAUUUAGGUGUUGUAAGAGUUAAAUUAUGAAUGAACUGUAUUGGCUGGUUAGACAUGCGCAGAGGAUUAUUUGUCUUUAUCCAUUUUUAUUUUCACAUUUUUCUUUCGAGGGGCAUUAAAAAGUCUCAGAUUAAAAACAACAUUUUUGUUUUUGUAAUUGUUUAUUUCAUUUACCCAGGGUCAGUCAAAAUAUUUUGGAAUAUGUGCGAGGGAGCGACACAUUCACUCCCGAGCGGUAGGGACUUGUUUUAGGAAACAUGCGUUUUCUAAGAAUGGUAAACCCAUAUUUUAAGGUAAAUUGCCAAUUCGUCUACUGCCAUACAGUCCACUCACCACAUGGUCUACCUUCAUUUUGUCUAUAAAUGCCAUUUCGUCCAAUAGCAAUUUCGUUUACCACCCAUUUAGUCUAAUUCUAUUAAGGCUAAUGCCAUCUCCAUUAAUCAGUUCGUCCAAUGUUCAUUUAGUCCAAGCCAUGUUGGCUAAUAUCAGUUGGUCCAAUAUCCAAAUUAUCUACCGGAUAAUUGUCAUUUCGUCUAUCAUUUCGUCCACCACCCAUUAGGUCCAAUAAUCAGUUUGUCUAACAACCAAAUCGCCCAGUUCGUUCAAUUCUCAAAUCGUCCAAUAGUCAUUUAGUCUAAUAGCCAAUUGGUCCAAUAGCCAUGUUGUCUAAUACAAAUAUAAUGCAUCAUCCGGGGGGGGGGGGGGACAAAAUGACUUCUUAAAUAUACCUUGAAAUUCCUGAAGAUAAAAAAAUAUAUAACUAGGCCUGCUAUCAGGAAUGGAAUGAUGCGGUACAGCAUGCAGCCUCCUACCCCCCCCCCCCCCGCUCUCUCUACCACAUCAUGCACACAAAAGGGGGGGAUUGGAGUGGUUAAAAAUGAUAAAAUUGAAAUAGGGUCCUUUGAUUUGGAAUUUACCCUCAUUUCUUUUUUUUUACAAAUGCACACCUAAAAAUGAUAAUCAUCACUCAUCAUAUAACAAUGAUAAUAAUUGUAAUAAUAGUAAUUAAUGAUAGUACUAAUAAACAAGAAAUGUACUAUAAUAAUAACGAUAACAGCCUUGACGGUACAAAAAAAAUAAAAAAGAGAGAAAAGUGGGAAAGGAUGGGGAGAACAUUACAUAAAAACAUAAAAUGUAUUACAAUGGAGCUUAAAAAAACACUAAUAAAAGAUUAAUCAAACGACAGGUGUAAAUUAAUAACAAAUCACAAGAGCAACAGGAGUCGAGGUAGCAAUACACAGGCACCAAACUAGAAGGACUGCUAGUAGUAGACUAUUCCUAUUUGAUUGUAGACGAAACGAAUAUUGACCGGGAUGGCAAUUGGACCCAUUGAUGAUUAGACCAAAUGAUUGUUAGAUGAAAUGGGUUUAGACUAAGUGACAGUGGAUCAACUGCAGUUGGACAAAAUGGAACAUAGACAAAAUGUAAGUAGACUAAGUGGUCAGUGGCCAUUUGCCCUUAGACCAAUUGGCUAUUGGACUAAAUGGUAAUAGACAUAAUGAAAAUGGACAAAGUGGCUAUUGGACAAAUUGGCCAAAAAUGCAAUUAGACCAAAUGAAAGUAGACAAAUUGGUUAUUAGACGAACUAGCUAUUGGACAAAAUGGUAAUUGGAAGAUGUGGAAAAGGAACAACUGAUGGUAGAUGAAAUGACAUACCAUUUGGUGAGUGGACAAAAUGGCAGUAGACGAAAUGGCAAUAAACCUAUUAUAGGCCUACGGUAGAAUUUAGGUGUUUUACGAGUCAUAUUCUGAAUGAACUGUAUUGGCUGGUAAGACAUGCGGCAAGGAUCUGUGUCUCUUAUCCAUUUUUAUUUUUCACAUUUCUUUUGUUUGAUUUCAUUUUUCAGGGGAAGCCCCCCCCCCCCCCCCCUCCUGUGGAAGCCAGUGGGGCUGGGGCUUAGAAUAGUGCACGAUAGAAAGGGAAAAACCGGAACUUUAGAUAUCAAAAGAGAAACAAAGAAUUGUAAAAAUGGGUGAGCUUUCGAGGGGCAUAAGAAAGUCUGAGAUUAGAAACAUCAUUUUUAUUUAUUUCUUUAUUCAUUUAUUGUUUUAUUUACCCAGGGUAGCCUCUUCAGUACAAAACUGCUUUACAAGAGAGCACUGCACAUCUAAAUGUAUUUAUCAGCAUUAAUAGUUUAUACAUAAUUUUUAAAAUGAGCGCGAAGCUCAGGAUAAUGUUUGAUAUUCCAACCAGAAAAAUUGGCAUUUUAAGCAUGUAAUCCCCUGCCCCAUUGGCAUCCACAGGAGGGUGGGCCUUUCUGCCUGGAAACUGAAAUCAAAAGAAAAGUGUGGAAAAUGGAUGAAAGACAAAGAUCCUCUGCGCAUGUCUUACCAGCAAAUGCAGCUCAUUCAGAAUCUAACUCUUAGAGCACCUAAAUUCUCGCCUGCAUUACGCAAUUUAAUAUAGCAGCAGUGCUAACUUUGAAAACUACUAUAAAAUAAUCAUUCACAAAAAAUAUUUUGACCUGCUUUUUUUAUCGGUUGCUUUGCUCCCUCACAUACCCCAACAAUUUUAUGUCCUCUACAUUUCUUCUGUUUGGUCACUUCGCUCCCUCUCACAUAUUCCCCAAAUCUCUUGUCCCUUGCAUUUUUCUUCUCUGUCAUUUCGCUCUCUCGCAUAUAUUGCAAAAUAAUUUUCUGCUGUCGCUUCGCUCCCUUGCACAUAUCCCA